AUUACAAACUGGGUUAUCGCCUUUGUUCUCAGGGGAGGAAAGUCCGGACAGCAGAGGGCAGCGCACCACCUAACGGGUGGGGUUCCGGUAAAACGGAAUACAGAGAGUGCCACAGAAAAUAACCGCCUUUUAUUAGGUAAGGGUGAAAAUGUAGGGUAAAAGCCUACGCUGUAUAUUGGCAACAAUAAACAGGGGUAAACCUUGCGCGCUGAAAUGCCAAAUAGGCGAACGUUUGAGAACGGCUCGUUCAAGUUCGUGGGUUGGCAGAUAGAGGUGUCGUGCGAGCGACAUCCCAGAUAAAUGAUAACGGCCUCGGGAUCAUACGAGGCUACAGAAUCCGGCUUAUAGGUUUGUAGUUGUU
rnacentral:RNase_P_RNA from 1 species